GGACGCUGCCCGGAUGGUAUAUAAAGGCCCGCCGCUUUCUGGCUGGCACACAAGUCUUCCUGCUACCCCUUGUAACACUCACAGGAACUAUGGCUCGUCUUCUGCUCCCGGUGAUGACUGUGGCCCUGGCCAUGGUGGCAGGCGCCAUGGGCCAGCAGGUGGGCUGUCCUUCAGGAUAUUCCGAGGCUCAGAUCCCGACCUUCAGCCUUAUCAAAGCAAGCAAGCCUGAGCUUGAUGGAUUCAUUCAAGACCAAAGUUUUGGGGACUUGGUGUACAAUUGCUUCCUUGGAAGGAAUUGUGACCAAUGCUCCCAGAAUGACGCGGUUAGACAGACCUUAACGCUGCUGCCGUGGCUGUUCCGAGAUUGCACCCAGAACCCUGCCGUCUGCAACAAGGAGCAGAGAUCCAGAGCAGUAUACAUUGCCACAGAAAUCAACAAGAGGUACUCCUCUCAGUACCAGGAAAUCCUCGCCCUCUUCAACUCUUCUUAAUAGGCACUCCACUACACAACCCGUCCCGCCACCCCUCAUGUUUCCCGUUAUAUAACUCCCAUCAGUGUUUGUGGACUGUCUACACACAAGUCAACUACUCCUUGUUGAUGUCUGAUUAUAUUUGAUGUUUAAUUUAAUAAAUCCAUAAUGUGAAGAUUCCAGUUAUUAUAUAUUUAUCAGUGAUACCCACUUUUGUUUUCGUCCUUAGUCUGAUAGAAGUUGUCGUUUGCAUUUCCCAUUUCAGUAAUGUUUUGGACAGGGCUGGGUGGGGGUGAUGGGACCAGCGGGGAACAACUCGCUACACACACACACACACACACACACACACACGCACACACACACACACACACACACACACACACAUGCGCGCACACAGGCACCCGCACCUACACUUACACCUGCACCAGCAACCACACCCGCAUCCACGCACACAAGCGCACCCACCGACACGCAGCCCCCUUUUCCCCCUACAGGCACCCACACCCACACCCAAGAAUUGUCUAGCCCACACCAGCACCCACACACAGGACCUGCACCGUGCCGUCAUCAACACGGAUUUUGCCCAUCCCCGACCCAACUUGACACAAUACACAUCGCCAUUUUAUUAUUCGUAAAUUAUAUUUUGUUUGUAAAAUGUAAACUUCCAGCCGAAAAAUUGCCAGUGAAUAAACCAGCUGCCAUUAUUUGCAGGACAGCGUUUGGCGGGUUUUUUUUUCCCUUGAGAUACCUCUUUUAAUGUAAAAUUAUUAUUAUUACUACACACACACACACACACACACAUGUCACGUCAUGCCACUCCGUGGCGCAACUAGUAAAGUGCUGCGCUGCCAGGCUUCACGGCCUGACAGGGCGGCGGUUCGAGCCCGCUCAGGCCGGAUUCUUUCCGUUGACUAGCAGUGGUUACUGUCCCCCCUUGAGCAAGGGGGAUGGGGUGUGUGGUGUGUGAGGUCCUGGCAGUACCCAGAGAUCGACGAUAUAGAGCACUUGCUCAUGUCGGGAGGGUACCUGCUGGCGGUUACGAGUCCAACACGUGAUCAGGCCGUGGUGGUGAAUUACACACACACACACACACACACACACACACACACAGAGAGAGAGAGAGAGUGUUACAUAAUUCUAAAGUGAUAGACUUGUGCUGCAAAGCUUGAAAUAAAUCUUUCAGGAUUAUCUUCCUUUCAAAAGUCUUUUUUACCUUCUCUGCCCUUUCCUCCUUGUCAUUCUGAUCCCGCUCCUCCUCCUCAAGUCCACGUGAUGGGCAAUAAGUGACUCAGCGCAGGUACCAAUUCAAUAUUCAGCCUAAAAUCAGUAUCUGGAAGCUCUCCCUCCACCAUUCCUCACACAAGCACACGCUGGACGCCGCCUGGAGUGUAUAUAAGGGCUCGCCUCUCCCUGGCUGCCACACAAGUCUUCCGGAGCUCCCUUGAAACACUCACAGCAACUAUGGCUCGUCUUCUGCUCCCGGUCAUGACUGUGGCCCUGGCCAUGGUGGCAGGCGCCAUGGGCCAGCAGGUGGGCUGUCCUUCAGGAUAUUCCGAGGCUCAGAUUCCGACCUUCAGCCUUAUCAAAGCAAGCAAGCCUGAGCUUGAUGGAUUAAUUCAAGACCAAAGUUUUGGGGACUUGGUGUACAAUUGCUUCCUUGGAAGGAAUUGUGACCAAUGCGCCCAGAAUGACGCGGUUAGACAGGCAUUAGCGCUGCUGCCGUGGCUGUUCCGAGAGUGCGUCCAGAAACCUGCCGUCUGCGACAAUAAUCAGAGAUCCAGAGCAGUAUACAUUGCCACAGAAAUCAAAAAGUGGUACCCCAAACAGUACCAGGAAAUCCUCACCCUUAUCAGCUCUUAAUAGGCACUUCACUACACAACCCGUCCCGCCACCCCUCAUGUUUCCCGCUAUGUAACUCCCAUCAGUGUUUGUGGACUGUCUACACACACGUCAACUACUCCUUGUUGAUGUCUGUUCAUAUUUGAUAUUAAAUUUAAUAAAUCUAUAAUGUGAA